GAUCAGUGAUUGUGUCAAACUUUUCUCUCUCUUCUUCUCCUUUUUUCUUCUUUUUUACUUUCUUUAAUUUCGUCUCAAUAGGAGGAGAGAGAGA
rnacentral:ribozyme from 1 species